rnacentral:rRNA from 1 species
CCUACGGGGGGCUGCAGUGGGGAAUAUUGCGCAAUGGGCGAAAGCCUGACGCAGCGACGCCGCGUGGGUGAUGAAGGCCUUCGGGUUGUAAAGCCCUGUCGGGUGGAACGAACGAUCUGGCGGCGAAUAACCGCCGGGUGUGACGGUACCACCGAAGGAAGCCCCGGCUAACUACGUGCCAGCAGCCGCGGUAAGACGUAGGGGGCUUGCGUGGUUCGGAAGUACGGGGCGGAAAGCACGCGAAGCGGGCGUGAAAUCCCUCGGCUUAACCGAGGUCCCGCAUCCGAUACUGUCUGGCUCGAGUCUAGGAGAGGAAAGCGGAAUUCCCAGUGUAGCGGUGAAAUGUAGAUAUUGGGAGGAACACCGGUGGCGAAGGCGGCUUUCCGGACUAGUACUGACGCUGAGGCGCGAAAGCUAGGGGAGCGAACGGGAUUAGAUACCCCAGUAGUC